AUGUUUGUUGAUUGUAGAGCCAUCAAUAAUAUUACAAUUCAAUAUCGUCAUCCUAUUCCUAGAUUAGAUGACAUGCUUGAUGAACUCAGUGGCUCAGUUGUGUUUUCUAAAGUGGACUUGCGUAGUGGCUACCAUCAAAGUCGUAUGAAACUAGGUGAUGAAUGGAAAACUGCUUUCAGAACUAAAUUUGGUUUAUAUGAGUGGUUAGUUAUGCUUUUUGGAUUGACUAAUGCACCUAGUACUUUCAUGAGACUAAUGAAUGAAGUUUUGCGAGCUUUCAUUGGACGAUUUGUGGUAGUAUACUUUGAUGAUAUUCUGAUUUAUAGUAAGUCACUAGAGGAACACUUAGACCAUUUACGUGCUAUUUUUUCUGCUUUGCGUGAUACAUGUUUAUUUGGUAAUAUCGAGAAGUGCACUUUUUGCACAGAUUGA
rnacentral:rRNA from 1 species